UGGCAAUGAUUACAUAUAUCCGCGCUUCUGAGAGUAAUCUAUGAAGCAAAGUACGGUAAAUGGUUGAAUUUCUUGAUAUGAGCCA
rnacentral:snoRNA from 1 species